rnacentral:rRNA from 1 species
UUAUUUUUCUAAGGAUUAUAGUUAAAAUUAAAAUAUUUGGCGGCUGUUUAUAUUAAAGGGAUUUGCUUUUUCGAUUUGCCUCGUUUUGUAUUAUUUGACUUUUUUUUGUAUAUCGUCAUUUAGAUAAUUUUGGUAAAAUUAAUUAUGUUAAUAAUAUACAUUAUAUUAGAUCAAGGUGCAGAAAUAGUUAAGUAUAAGUUAAUGACAAUAAUAAUUAUUAUACAGGAUAAAAAUAAAUAUUUGAAUAGGGGGAUUUAAUUGUAAUGGAAAUUAUUUGAAAAUUUAUUUAUAGUGUACAAAUUGCCCGUCAUUCUC